CAACUCCCCUUUUAUCUAGUCGGUACCAAAAUAUCUUUGCGCCUUUGAUCAAGCUUGAAGCAGACUAUGAUAAGAUGAUGAAAGAGUCGCAAAGUAAAGACAAUGUCACUGUUCACUAGGACAUUGGUCUCAACAAGAAACGUGUUGCAUAUUUUGUUUUCCCAAAGGAAGAUAAUGAGGUGCGACUGGUACCUGGUGAUGAGUUGAGGUUGCGUUAUUCAGGAGAUGCAGCUUAUCCAGCUUGGCAAUUUGUAGGCCAUGUGGUAUGGUUUUUUCCUUCAUUUCUAAUGUUCUCUUUUGAAAAAAAAAAAAAAAAAAAAAA